rnacentral:piRNA from 1 species
UUGGCAUUGUACAUAUGGAAU